CUACGGGAUGCACCAGUGAGGAAUAUUGCACAAUGGGGGGAACCCUGAUGCAGCAACGCCGCGUGGAGGAUGACGCAUUUCGGUGUGUAAACUCCUUUUAUAUGUCAAGAAAAUGACGGUAGCAUAUGAAUAAGCACCGGCUAACUCCGUGCCAGCAGCCGCGGUAAUACGGAGGGUGCAAGCGUUACUCGGAAUCACUGGGCGUAAAGGACGCGUAGGCGGGUUGGAAAGUCAGGUGUGAAAUCCUACAGCUUAACUGUAGAACUGCACUUGAAACUUCUAAUCUAGAGUAUGGGAGGGGGAGAUGGAAUUAGUGGUGUAGGGGUAAAAUCCGUAGAUAUCACUAGGAAUACCUAAAGCGAAGGCGAUCUCCUGGAACAUUACUGACGCUAAGGCGUGAAAGCGUGGGGAGCAAACAGGAUUAGAUACCCCUUAGUC
rnacentral:rRNA from 1 species